AUUGAACGCUGGCGGCAGGCCUAACACAUGCAAGUCGAACGGUAGCACAGAGAGCUUGCUCUCGGGUGACGAGUGGCGGACGGGUGAGUAAUGUCUGGGAAACUACCUGGAUGGAGGGGGAUAACUACUGGAAACGGUAGCUAAUACCGCAUAAUGUCGCAAGACCAAAGAGGGGGACCUUCGGGCCUCUUGCCAUCAGAUGUGCCCAGAUGGGAUUAG
rnacentral:rRNA from 1 species